UCGGGAAUUUUGGGCAAUGGGCGAAAGCCUGACCCAGCAACGCCGCGUGAAGGAUGAAGUCUCUCGGGAUGUAAACUUCGUAAGAAUAGGAAGAAUAAAUGACGGUACUAUUUGUAAGGUCCGGCUAACUGCGUGCCAGCAGCCGCGGUAAUACGUAGGGACCAAGCGUUGUUCGGAUUUACUGGGCGUAAAGGGCGCGUAGGCGGCGUGGUAAGUCACUUGUGAAAUCUCCGAGCUUAACUCGGAACGGUCAAGUGAUACUGCUGUGCUAGAGUACAGAAGGGGCAAUCGGAAUUCUUGGUGUAGCGGUGAAAUGCGUAGAUAUCAAGAGGAACACCUGAGGUGAAGACGGGUUGCUGGGCUGAUACUGACGCUGAGGCGCGAAAGCUAGGGUAGCAAACGGGAUUAGAUACCCCCGUAGUCCCUGAGCGGGCUGGCAAGGCGCAU
rnacentral:rRNA from 1 species